rnacentral:snRNA from 1 species
AUACUUACCGGGCAGGGGAGAUACCAUGAUCACGUUUUCCCAGGGCGAGGCUUAUCCAUUGCACUCCGGAUGUGCUGACCCCUGCAAUUUCCCCAAAUGUGGGAAGCUCAACUGAAUGAUUUGUGGUAGUGGCGGACUGCGUUCGUGCUCUCCCCUG